rnacentral:tRNA from 1 species
ACCUUUUUAGUAUAAAAGUAUAUUUGACUUCCAAUCAAAAGGUCCAUAUUUAUGGAAAAGGUA